rnacentral:rRNA from 1 species
GACGAACGCUGGCGGCGUGCCUAAUACAUGCAAGUAGAACGCUGAAGGAGGAGCUUGCUUCUCCGGAUGAGUUGCGAACGGGUGAGUAACGCGUAGGUAACCUGCCUGGUAGCGGGGGAUAACUAUUGGAAACGAUAGCUAAUACCGCAUAAGAGUAGAUGUUGCAUGACAUUUGCUUAAAAGGUGCAAUUGCAUCACUACCAGAUGGACCUGCGUUGUAUUAGCUAGUUGGUGGGGUAACGGCUCACCAAGGCGACGAUACAUAGCCGACCUGAGAGGGUGAUCGGCCACACUGGGACUGAGACACGGCCCAGACUCCUACGGGAGGCAGCAGUAGGGAAUCUUCGGCAAUGGACGGAAGUCUGACCGAGCAACGCCGCGUGAGUGAAGAAGGUUUUCGGAUCGUAAAGCUCUGUUGUAAGAGAAGAACGAGUGUGAGAGUGGAA